UGCUGAUCAGGGAGUGGAAAAUGUUGACGUUGCACGCAGCAUGUUUACAGUCCGUGGCCCUGGGAAGAGCAGCUUUAUAUCCGGGAAGAGUGUUCACAACCAAAGGAUGACCUAGGUACUUUUCGUGAUGGUUGGGACAAUCAUCCGCUGAGGACAGAAAGCAACAUGACCCCCAACCAGCUGUGGGAGCUGGGUCGUACACAUUACCCAAUUCCAGGACUAGAUAACACAGAGGGCAUGGAUAUUCUUGACAUUGAGUGGGAGAACAGCGGACUUCCAUUUGAUGACCAGUCGAGCAUCAUUGUUCCAGACACAGCAUCACCCCUGACCGAUGGACAAAUGACAGCUUUAAGAGAUGCAGUUAACCCGAGAGCUGCAUCCCAGUCCUAUGGCUGCGAUACUUACAUUGCUGCCGUUCAAUUUUGU